CAGGCCUCCCUCUGCUUGGUUCCAGUCGUGGGCAUGAGUGAGGGUCGAUGCUUGAUGGCUUUGAUGCCAUCGGUGGGAAUGUAUUUAAGCAUCGGCCUUCCCUCAUGCCCACGAUGGUCUACAGUCUUGGGUAUGAGUCAGUGACGAUGCUUGUUUGUUUAGAUGCUUGUGUUGGAACUUGCUUGUUUAGAUGCUUGCGUUAGAACUUGCUUGUUUAGAUGCUUGUGUUGGAACUUGCUUGAGCAACCUUGUUAGAUGCUUGAGUUAGAACUUGCUUUCAACCUAGUAGGGAAGUGUCCCUGCGACCAACGACAUUUUUUGUCGGGAUCGUGGCAAGUCUGCGAUCCAGGGGGUGAUGUUGAGAGCCGGAAGGCAAGGGGGUGCAAACACCAGUCGGCCUUUGUCCCGAUUGCUGAGUGUUAUGUGCUUGAUGUCYAAGGCUUGAUGCUGAUCCUCCAAGUGGGGCUUGUCCCUGCACCAAUGGCUUUUGCCAGGAUCAUGGUGUUUGCUAUGAUCGAAAAAAUGAGGGGGUGAUGUUGAGAGCCGGAAGGCAAGGGGGUGCAAACACCAGUCGGCCUUUGUCCCGAUUGCUGAGUGUUAUGUGCUWGACGUCCAAGGCUUGAUGUUGACCCUCCAAGUGGGGCUUUUUUGUUCUUGCGGUAACGACUUUGUUGGGAUCAUUGUGAUCAAGUUUGGUUGGUUUCGUAUUGUGGUGGGUUUGUUCGAAGCUUCUAUCGUUGUUUUACGCAUCGUGCGGUGCAUCUUGGGGGCUGUUUUGGCUUUUGGUUGCUUGCUUGGGCUUUAUGCUAGGCGGGUGGCUAAU
rnacentral:misc_RNA from 1 species